rnacentral:rRNA from 1 species
CCUACGGGUGGCUGCAGUGGGGAAUAUUGGACAAUGGGCGAAAGCCUGAUCCAGCCAUGCCGCGUGUGUGAAGAAGGCCUUCGGGUUGUAAAGCACUUUCAGUGGGGAAGAAAGCCUUGGGGCUAAUACCCUCGAGGAAGGACAUCACCCACAGAAGAAGCACCGGCUAACCCCGUGCCAGCAGCCGCGGUAAUACGGAGGGUGCGAGCGUUAAUCGGAAUUACUGGGCGUAAAGCGCGCGUAGGCGGUCUGAUAAGCCGGUUGUGAAAGCCCCGGGCUCAACCUGGGAACGGCAUCCGGAACUGUCAGGCUAGAGUGCAGGAGAGGAAGGUAGAAUUCCCGGUGUAGCGGUGAAAUGCGUAGAGAUCGGGAGGAAUACCAGUGGCGAAGGCGGCCUUCUGGACUGACACUGACGCUGAGGUGCGAAAGCGUGGGUAGCAAACAGGAUUAGAUACCCGAGUAGUC